UACGUAGGGUCCGAGCGUUGUCCGGAAUUACUGGGCGUAAAGCGUGCGUAGGUGGUUCGUUAAGUCCGUUGUGAAAGCCCCGAGCUCAACUUGGGAAUUGCAGUGGAUACUGGCGAGCUGGAGUGCGGUAGAGGAAGGUGGAAUUCCCGGUGUAGCGGUGAAAUGCGUAGAGAUCGGGAGGAACACCAGUGGCGAAGGCGGCUUCCUGGACCAAUACUGACGAUCAGGUGCGAAAGCGUGGGGAGCAAACAGGGA
rnacentral:rRNA from 1 species